rnacentral:rRNA from 1 species
GAUCAUGGCUCAGGAUGAACGCUGGCGGCGUGCCUAACACAUGCAAGUCGAGCGAGAAAUCUUGGAAUGAAACUUCGGUGGAAUAAAGAGAUGGAAAGCGGCGGACGGGUGAGUAACGCGUAGGCAACCUGCCCUUUGCAGAGGGAUAGCCAUUGGAAACGAUGAUUAAAACCUCAUAAAACCAAGACGUCACAUGGCGAUUUGGUCAAAGAUUUAUCGGCAAAGGAUGGGCCUGCG